GACAGAGGGGGCAAGCGUUGCUCGGAAUUACUGGGCGUAAAGGGCGCGUAGGCGGAAUGGCAAGUCGGUCGUGAAAUCCUUCGGCUCAACCGAAGAACGUCGAUCGAAACUGCCGUUCUUGAGGAUUGCAGAGGAGACUGGAAUUCCCGGUGUAGCGGUGAAAUGCGUAGAGAUGUGGAGGAACACCGAUGGCGAAGGCAGCCUUCUGGGCCAAUACUGACGCUCAUGCACGAAAGCGUGGGGAGCAAACAGG
rnacentral:rRNA from 1 species